AAAACGACUCUCGGCAACGGAUAUCUAGGCUCUUGCAUCGAUGAAGAACGUAGCGAAAUGCGAUACUUGGUGUGAAUUGCAGAAUCCCGUGAACCAUCGAGUCUUUGAACGCAAGUUGCGCCCGAAGCCAUUAGGUUGAGGGCACGUCUGCCUGGGCGUCACAU
rnacentral:rRNA from 21 species